rnacentral:piRNA from 1 species
UAAUCAGGAAAUUCUUGUGUUUGCCUUGAA